AUGGCCAACUCUUCUUCGUCGUCAUCCAGCGGCGGCAAGCAGCCAACACGGAGCGCGUCGGCCAUUGUCGCGCGGGCAGUGCCGGUCUCCGGCUCGCACGAUCUCAAGAUAGACGGCUACUCCGGGGCCAAGGGGCUCGGCAACGGUUCCUGCAUUACGUCCGAGUUGUUCUCUAUCGGAGGCCGUCUCUGGCGUCUCCAGUACUACCCCGACGGCUACUCCGGCUACCCUGACUGGAUAUCAAUCUACCUCUGCCUCGACCCCGCCGACGUCAACACAAUCAACGUGCAGUUCGAGAUCAGUUUGCUCGACCAGGAUGGGAACCCCGUGUCAGCGUACAGCAAAGCCAGCAACACGUGCACCUUCUCCAAACAAAGUGGAUCGUAUGGUUUCUGGCAGUUCAUCAAGAAAAAAGAACUGGAGGAAUCAGCUGAUUGCCUGAAGGAUGACGUCUUCACUGUCAGGUGUGUCAUUACCAUGGCAAAGGAGAUCUUCACGGAAACCAUCCCGGCCCCCGUCGUCGUGCCACCGCCUGACGUGCUCCAGCAUCUCGGCCAGCUCCUCUCCUCCGGGGACGGGGCGGAUGUCACGUUCGAGGUUGGGGACGAGAAGUUCCCCGCCCACAGGUGCAUGCUCGCAGCUCGGUCCUCGGUCUUCAAGGCCGAGCUCCUCGGUACGAUGAAGGAGAAGACGGACGCCAGCGUCCGGUUGGACGGCAUCGAAGCUAAAGUGUUCAAGGCAAUGCUGCACUUUGUUUACACCGACUCGUUGCCGCAUAUAGACGCGGGAGACGCGGCGGUGAUGGCUCAGCAUUUGCUUGUGGUGGCGGACAGAUUCAACCUGGGGAGGCUGAAGUUGAUGUGUGAGGACACGCUGCGCAGCUACAUCGACACGAGCACGGUGGCGACCAUAUGGGCGCUGGCCGAGCAGCAUGGCUGUGGGGCGCUCAAGGACGCAUGCUUCAAGUUCCUUGCGUCUCUCGGCAAUUUCAAAGCACUCACGGCCAGCGAUGGCUUUGAGCAUCUGAUGAGGAGCUGCCCCUCUCUCCUUAAGGAGCUGGCUGCCAAUCUGGCUACCUAG
rnacentral:rRNA from 1 species